GAGGGGGGCGGGGAGACAGGCUCAUGGCGGAAGGCAGUUUGAGUCGAUACCUUGUUUGAUCCGUAUCUUCAUCCCGAUGACCGCUUUAAGGCACAUAGGAUGCCGACUUUCCUCCUUCUACUCCUCGGACUAACGGCAGGAUGCGUCAGGACCCAGGAUAGUAGUGAGGGGGUCCCCGCAGUGGUCGCCGCUCCCUUGAGAGGCACUGGCGGGUUCGGCGACCCCUGCGUGGAUAGCUGCAACCCGGACACUCACACCAUCUGUGACAAUAAGACAAAGACGUGCAAGUGUGAUCGCCACCACCCAGUCCCCAUCAACGGCGAAUACUGCGUCAAGCCUGCAUUACUCGGAAAACCAUGUAUUCACGAAGACCAGUGCCAAUACCACGAUGUUCACACCAUAUGUAUCGAGUACGAUGUAAAUUAUACCGAAUGCAAGUGUCGCGAUAAAUACGAGGUCAAGGUCAUCGAAGGUCUGCCCAUUUCGAAUCUAUGCUUCCCAAGCUUAGAAGCCCUGAAGGCAGACGUCCCCACACUACUGGGUCUGGGUCUAGGCAUGUCCGUGUUGUCUGCCCUCAUCUGUCUUGUGCUCAAGAUCUUCGCCCGUGCCCGCUUUGUUCGCCCUCGUCGUUAUGCAGACGCCCGUAUUAACCCACCCCUCACGGUCUCUGGUCAGCUAAGCCGUGAAGGUGAGCGUCGUGCGUGUGCUAAUGCACAUGGUCACAAAGUGUACGCCCGACGUCAGAGUUACCCCCAGCGUCGUGCCUCCACCAUGGGCCCCCACGGCGGUUCCCCCCAACAGCGGCCCUCCCUCCAACCUCUGAGGGUGAUCCCCGAGAACCCAGGGGCAUCUCAUGGGGCAGUCCAAGGGUCACCUGCCAGAGGGGUCCGAUCUACACCCUCCCUGCAGCAGAACUCUCGCGAAACAUACGCAGCCUUUGCCCUGGCCGCCAAUGCCUCCACCAGCAGUAGCCCGGCCAGGGAUAGACACCAUUCCCUGCGCUCUACCAAAUCCGCAUCCUCAUCCCGAAGACCUUCCUACAGCUCCCUCCAUCCUCAUCGUCCAGGCACCAGGAGGUCUUCACAAGCAUCGCUCCGUCUGGUCGCAGGAGAGGGCCGUGGAGAACCGAUUGGAUACUACGUGUGCAUUAGGGAUCCUGCCUCCGUACAUUCUAGAGGAGGCUCCAGGCGCCCAUCUCAGGCUUCUACAGCAUCAAGUUCUGGGGACCUUCGUGAGGGCCGUGUCCAUCAUUAUCUUUAUAUGAGACCCAAUUAUUCCCUAACCUCAGAGGCCACCACCACCACGGGCACUUCAGACUCAUCUCCACGAACUCCCAAAAGUACAGAACAACUGCUGGCUGUGUACCACUCUGUGCCAGAGGGGGCGCCUGGCACACCACGCAAACCACCGCCCCCCAACACUCCCACCAAGGAUGGCCCUUAACAGACUCUUCCUGUUGAACUGAAAUCUAAUCAUCUACAACUCGACAAGAAUCUCUCGGAGAAAAAGCAUUCAGUCCUGGAGAUGGGAGGAGUAGGGACAUCCCACACCACCUCCACCCUCGGUA
rnacentral:misc_RNA from 1 species